AUACCUUUCUCGGCCUUUUGGCUAAGAUCAAGUGUAGUAUUUGUUCUUAUCAGUUUAAUAUCUGAUACUGGGCCCUUGGCUCACAUGAUAUUAAAUUUAUUUUUUAGGGGAUAGUCCAU
rnacentral:snRNA from 1 species